CAUGCAAGUCGAACGGUAGCACAGAGAGCUUGCUCUUGGGUGACGAGUGGCGGACGGGUGAGUAAUGUCUGGGAAACUGCCUGAUGGAGGGGGAUAACUACUGGAAACGGUAGCUAAUACCGCAUAACGUCUUCGGACCAAAGUGGGGGACCUUCGGGCCUCACACCAUCGGAUGUGCCCAGAUGGGAUUAGCUAGUAGGUGGGGUAAUGGCUCACCUAGGCGACGAUCCCUAGCUGGUCUGAGAGGAUGACCAGCCACACUGGAACUGAGACACGGUCCAGACUCCUACGGGAGGCAGCAGUGGGGAAUAUUGCACAAUGGGCGCAAGCCUGAUGCAGCCAUGCCGCGUGUAUGAAGAAGGCCUUCGGGUUGUAAAGUACUUUCAGCGGGGAGGAAGGCGAUAAGGUUAAUAACCUUGUCGAUUGACGUUACCCGCAGAAGAAGCACCGGCUAACUCCGUGCCAGCAGCCGCGGUAAUACGGAGGGUGCAAGCGUUAAUCGGAAUUACUGGGCGUAAAGCGCACGCAGGCGGUCUGUCAAGUCAGAUGUGAAAUCCCCGGGCUUAACCUGGGAACUGCAUUUGAAACUGGCAGGCUAGAGUCUUGUAGAGGGGGGUAGAAUUCCAGGUGUAGCGGUGAAAUGCGUAGAGAUCUGGAGGAAUACCGGUGGCGAAGGCGGCCCCCUGGACAAAGACUGACGCU
rnacentral:rRNA from 1 species